UACGGAGGGUGCAAACGUUGCUCGGAAUCAUUGGGCGUAAAGCGCACGUAGGCGGUCCGUUAUGUCGGGUGUGAAAGCCCUCGGCUUAACCGAGGAAGUGCAUUCGAAACUGGCGGACUUGAGUACCGGAGAGGGUCGCGGAAUUCCCGGUGUAGAGGUGAAAUUCGUAGAUAUACGGAGGAACACCAGAGGCGAAGGCGGAUCGCUGGGCCAACACUGACGCUGAUGUGCGAAAGCUAGGGGAGCAAACGGG
rnacentral:rRNA from 1 species